GACGAACGCUGGCGGCGUGCUUAACACAUGCAAGUCGAACGGAAAGGCCCUGCUUGCAGGGUACUCGAGUGGCGAACGGGUGAGUAACACGUGGGUGAUCUGCCCUGCACUUCGGGAUAAGCCUGGUAAACUGGGUCUAAUACCGGAUAGGAGCCAUUUUUAGUGUGAUGGUUGGAAAGUUUUUUCGGUGUAGGAUGAGCUCGCGGCCUAUCAGCUUGUUGGUGGGGUAAUGGCCUACCAAGGCGGCGACGGGUAGCCGGCCUGAGAGGGUGGCCGGCCACAUUGGGACUGAGAGACGGCCCAGACUCCGACGGGAGGCAGAAGUGGGGAAUAUUGCACAAUGGGCGCAAGCCUGAUGCAGCGAAGCCGCGUGGGGGAUGACGGCCUUCGGGUUGGAAACUCCUUUCGCUAGGGACGAAGCUUUUUGUGACGGUACCUAGAUAAGAAGCACCGGCUAACUACGUG
rnacentral:rRNA from 1 species